UGGGAUAUAAAGUGAACUUCCUGUGUAGA
rnacentral:piRNA from 1 species